AUACUUAGCUGGCAGGGGAGAUCCCAUGAUCAUGAUGGUUGUUUUCUCAGGGUGAGGCUUAUCCAUUGCACCCUGAUGUGCCGACCCCUGUGAUUUCUCCAAGUGUGGGAAACCCUGCUGCGUAAUUUGUGGUAGUGGGGAACUUUGUUUGCGCUCUUCCUGG